CCUACGGGUGGCAGCAGUGAGGAAUAUUGGUCAAUGGUCGUAAGCCUGAACCAGCCAAGUCGCGUGAGGGAUGAAGGUUCUAUGGAUCGUAAACCUCUUUUAUAAGGGAAUAAAGUGCGGGACGCGUCCCCUUUUGUAUGUACCUUAUGAAUAAGCAUCGGCUAACUCCGUGCCAGCAGCCGCGGUAAUACGGAGGAUCCGAGCGUUAUCCGGAUUUAUUGGGUUUAAAGGGUGCGUAGGCGGGCUUUUAAGUCAGCGGUGAAAGUCUGUGGCUCAACCGUAGAAUUGCCGUUGAAACUGGCAGGCUUGAGUAGGGUAGAGGUAGGCGGAAUGCGUGGUGUAGCGGUGAAAUGCUUAGAUAUCACGCAGAACUCCGAUUGCGAAGGCAGCCUGCCGGGCCAUGACUGACGCUGAUGCACGAAAGCGUGGGGAUCAAACAGGAUUAGAUACCCGAGUAGUC
rnacentral:rRNA from 1 species